rnacentral:lncRNA from 1 species
AAUUCCAGCUGUUACGUGUGGAGCAUUGGUAAGAGUUUCAUCUAUAACACAAGGCCUAGCAACUGACUUCAUCUCCCGGCACUAAUGAAUCCAAAUCGUGAUCAACGAAUAACAAGAAAUACAUUAUGGGCACUUGGAGACGUCGGUAUAAAUACUUCCCCGAGGACGAUCAUUGUCGUCCUCCGCAAAUCCGACUUGUACGUACAAUACCUGUAAUACAGUGCGUGCGCGACUCCUGCAGGCAAAGAUCAGGGUCCUGCCGCAAAAGGGAUCUCACCUAAUGACCCGUUUCAACCUUGUCUUUGGGCACGGGGUCAUAAAUUCGCCAUUUCGAUCCGGGGCUUCUUUGUUUAUGCUUGACGAUUAAACGCCGAGUCCAGAGUAUUCACCAGAGAAUCACCUUAUACCUUCGUCAUUCUACUUGGUGACUAAUUCCUCGACAGGAUCAUAGAGCGAUACUUUUCGCCGCAGCAAAGCGUUCAUCGAUUACUAAGCUCGGUGCCAUGCCGCGUUACCUUCGGAAUGAUCGCAGGUCAUUAUCCCUCGUUAAACUGGUAUUAAUUACUCGGUCGAGUGUUUAUAAGAGUUCAGAGCAUGUUCCGACUGUCGGUAGAUGAGUUUGUAUCAACGGCUGUUUGACUUAAGCUCACUGUUACGGCAGUGACAAUUAUCACGUCGUCGAGUAAAUACCAUCGGAAUGAUGAAGUAGAAACAAUUUACUCCAUUUGUUUCGCCUUAUACUUGACCCAUAUUUUAAUAAUUUUUUACCUCACUGCCGUUUAUGCGCAAUACAAGUUCGACGGUAAUUAGCCGUGAAUUCCAUUCGCGGUCAAAGAUUUCCAUCUAACUUACUGUCGUGUAAUUAGGGGCUACGGACGGCAAGACGCCAAAUUAGAUGUUGUGUAAAAAAAAAGAAAAGAAAAAAAAAACAAUUUCGCCAAAGUGUGCAUCCUAACGAACGCAGUUCAAGCAUCAACAGUUUUCUAAAAACCGAUUUGCUUGGUUCGUGCACGUCCUAUAUUGCAUACUUUGAACAAUUAGGUAUAAAUUUUUUAGAAAUUAUAAAGUAGAAAAGAAAGGUGAAGAGUGAAAAACAUUGGGAAGUAAGAAAAGAA